AAUUUGGUGAUCAGGUAAUUUGCUGUGAAACACUGCAACAUACUAGAAACAACUCUCUUUCUUGUUGUCUUAGAUCCAUCUCUGUCUAAUGUGACUGUGUAUGUCACUGGAGACUCUCCAGUCUUCACCCUCUACAGCCCGACAGGUGUGUCUCAGUCAGGUUCAGUGGCAGAUGGUCCUCUGGGCAGCAUCCUGACUGUAGGGAAUCUAAAGAGAGUAAAACUCAACUCCACCGGCCAGACAGGAGAAUGGAAGAUCAGCAUUAACUCUACAAGCUCCUACAGCCUGAAAAUCACUGGUCAGAGUUCUGUGAACUUUCUCUUUAACUUCGUGGAGCGGUUAGAAGGGGGUGACUUCACACCGAAAGCCAAUCGUCCCUUCACCGGUAUGAUAUCAUCUUCUUCAUUUGAUAUUUCUUUUUAUUACUAAACAGUUACACUACUGUUCAAAAGUUUGGGGUCAGUAAGAAUUUUUUUAUGUUUUUGGGAGAAAAUUCACAUUAUGCUCAACAAAGCUGCAUUAUUCAAUCAAUAAUACAGUAAAACUGUAGAAAAAAAAGAGAAAAGUGAAAUUAUUAUUAACA
rnacentral:lncRNA from 1 species